AACGAACGCUGGCGGCAGGCCUAACACAUGCAAGUCGAACGCUGUAGCAAUACAGAGUGGCAGACGGGUGAGUAACGCGUGGGAAUCUACCCAAUGGUACGGAAUAACUCAGGGAAACUUGAGCUAAUACCGUAUGUGCCCGAAAGGGGAAAGAUUUAUCGCCAUUGGAUGAGCCCGCGUCGGAUUAGCUAGUUGGUGGGGUAACGGCCCACCAAGGCGACGAUCCGUAGCUGGUCUGAGAGGAUGACCAGCCACACUGGGACUGAGACACGGCCCAGACUCCUACGGGAGGCAGCAGUGGGGAAUAUUGGACAAUGGGCGCAAGCCUGAUCCAGCCAUGCCGCGUGAGUGGUGAAGGCCCUAGGGUCGUAAAGCUCUUUCGACGGGGACGAUAAUGACGGUACCCGUAGAAGAAGCCCCGGCAAACUUCGUGCCAGCCGCCGCAGUAACAC
rnacentral:rRNA from 1 species